AUGGGGCCACAGGGACACGGAGGAGGAAGUGUGGGUAUAUUUUCUGUUUCCAUCUCAGGGGCCAGGUGUGACAUCCAGAUGACCCAGUCUCCACCAUCAGUGCCUGCAUCUCUGGGAGACACUGUCACCAUCUCCUGCCGGGCCAGUGAGAGUAUUAGCAAUUAUUUACACUGGUAUCAGCAGAAACCAGGGAAGGCUCCUAAACUCCUGAUCAAUCACGCAACCACUUUGCGGCCCGGGGUCCCAUCCCGCUUCAGUGGCAGUGGAUCUGGGACAGAUUUCACUCUCACCAUCAGCAGCCUGGAGCCUGAAGAUGCUGCCACUUACUUCUGUCAGCAGGGGGCCAGGUGUGAUGUCCAGAUGACCCAGUCUCCAUCCUCCGUGUCUGCAUCUCCAGGAGACAGAGUCACCAUCUCCUGCCGGGCCAGUCAGAGUGUUAGCAACUAUUUACAAUGGUACCAGCAGAAACUAGGGAAAGUUCCUCAACUCCUGAUCUAUGGUGCAUCCAAUUUGCAACCCGGGGUCCCAUCCCGCUUCAGUGGCAGUGGAUCUGGGACAGAUUUCACUCUCACCAUCAGCAGCCUGGAGCCUGAAGAUGCUGCCACUUACUACUGUCAGCAUCAUUACAGUGCUCCUCCUUCCACAGUGAUACAAGCCCGAACAAAAACCACCUGAGGGAGUGAAAGUGUGAGGUUGGGAAACCCAGCUGCUCCCUCUGCUGAGAGUAUAUCUCACAUGUCGUCACACUUGAGUGGAAGGUUCUGGUAGAAGGGGCAGGGACACUGCCUCACACCUGCUUCUUUUUCCUCCUCCCCCUUCCCAACAACACAGACAUGAUAACGCCUCUGCUGACUCAAUUGUGACAGAAGUUAUUACACCUGAGCUGUCUGGUUAUGAUGUCGGUCAGGUUCAUCAGUGGGAGAGGAGCCACUUGAGAUCAUUUGGAUAAGAACUUACUUUAGGGCCUCCCCGGUGGGGCAGUGUUUGAGCGUCAUGCUGCGAAGCUGUCCGCAGCCUCUGCAGUGCCAGUUCAAUUCCCUGCCAGCCAGGGAGAACCCCACAUGGUGCAGCAGAUCUCUCCUGCUUCACUCACUGCUCCCCUCAGCAGUGUCUUUGUUCCAUCUGCCAGUUCUGCAUCCCGCUCUGGCUCUGGUGAAUUCUCACCCUCCCACACUUCUGACCUGUACCCCAGUUCUUGUAUAAAAUAAAUAAAUCAAUCUUAAAAAAAAGAACUUACUUUAAUAAACAAUUCUCAAUGAGAUACCAUCUUACACCAGUGAGAAUGGCACAUAUUAAAAAAACUAGCAAAGACAAAUGUUGGUGAGGAUGUGGAGAAAAAGGAACUCUCCUGCACUGCUGGUGGGAGUGCAAACUGGUCCAACCACUAUGAAGAGCUUUGU